rnacentral:misc_RNA from 1 species
AGCAGCCGCGGUAAUUCCAGCUCCAAUAGCGUAUAUUAAAGUUGUUGCAGUUAAAAAGCUCGUAGUUGAAUUUCGGGAUCAGUUGGUCGGUCGUGCCUCGGUACGUACUGGUCAAAUUGAUUCCUACCUUCUGACGAACCACGAUGUCAUUAAUUUGGUGUCGCGGGAAAUCAGGACUGUUACUUUGAAAAAAUUAGAGUGUUUAAAGCAGGCUCGCGCUUGAAUACAUUAGCAUGGAAUAAUGAAAUAGGACGUUUGAUUCUAUUUUGUUGGUUUCUAGGAUCGACGUAAUGAUUAAUAGGGAUAGUUGGGGGCAUUAGUAUUCAAUUGUCAGAGGUGAAAUUCUUGGAUUUAUUGAAGACUAACUACUGCGAAAGCAUUUGCCAAGGAUGUUUUCAUUAAUCAAGAACGAAAGUUAGGGGAUCGAAGACAAUCAGAUACCGUCGUAGUCUUAACCAUAAACUAUGCCGACUAGGGAUCGGAUGAUGUUAAUUUUUUAAUGUACUCAUUCGGCGCCUUA